rnacentral:rRNA from 1 species
GAUGAACGCUGGCGGCGUGCCUAAUACAUGCAAGUCGAGCGAACGGACGAGAAGCUUGCUUCUCUGAUGUUAGCGGCGGACGGGUGAGUAACACGUGGAUAACCUACCUAUAAGACUGGGAUAACUUCGGGAAACCGGAGCUAAUACCGGAUAAUAUUUUGAACCGCAUGGUUCAAAAGUGAAAGACGGUCUUGCUGUCACUUAUAGAUGGAUCCGCGCUGCAUUAGCUAGUUGGUAAGGUAACGGCUUACCAAGGCAACGAUGCAUAGCCGACCUGAGAGGGUGAUCGGCCACACUGGAACUGAGACACGGUCCAGACUCCUACGGGAGGCAGCAGUAGGGAACCUUCCGCAAUGGGCGAAAGCCUGACGGAGCAACGCCGCGUGAGUGAUGAAGGUCUUCGGAUCGUAAAACUCUGUUAUUAGGGAAGAACAUAUGUGUAAGUAACUGUGCACGUCUUGACGGUACCUAAUCAGAAAGCCACGGCUAACUACGUG